GAGCACGCUCUAUAUCUCUCUCGUUUGUUCUUCAUCCUAAAUUCUUAAUUACUACUUUGUUGAUAAUCUUGAAUUUUUUCAUUGCACAGUUUUGAUUGUUCUUCUUCUUCAGAUCGGCUUCUCAAACUCGAUUAAAUGACUCGAUUUUAGGGUUUGCAGUUCUUGAUUUCUUCGAUUUCAUGGAUAUCGUUGUUGAAUUGCGUUUUCAUAUGCUAUUUUCGGAUUAUAGAUAUCAAGAAUUUCACAAUUCUUCAAUGGUUAAUCGAGAUUUGCGUUUAUCGAUUUUGCAGCAAGCUGAAACGUUUUAGGGUUCUUGAUUCGAUGCAUGAGAACGGAGAACAAUCAGAUAGGUAAAUCAAUUUUCUUCGAUGAGUGUCCUUCUUUAUGGUUUUUAUUUUUUCUUUGGCCUUGAUGCAAGAUAAUCGAAUUGAACCUUGAAUGUGUUUUUCUGCAGCAUGAUUCUUCAAUAACUUUCUUAUGGAGCCUCUAGUUUGUUGUGAUUUGGUGAUCUCUAAUAAAAAAAUAUUCUUUCAAUCUUUUUUCAUCAAUUAAACUUAUUCUUAUUCUCACAGUUUAUAUUUCUUGAUUUCUUGAUAUGUUGGCCAGAUUCUCUGCUCCGUGAUUGCUUAAUACCAUAUUGUAGGCAUCAAGAAUCAGAAUUUUACACGAUCACAUUUUCAUGAAUCUUUUACUUAUCAGUCAUUAGGAAUUAUUAUUUGUAUAAAUUUAUUGUUAUAAUUCUUCUGUUAGAUAAUAGAUAAUUGAGACGUGCAUUGUUGGUUUUGCAGUGAACUGAAGUCAAAAUACUAACUUGCUUCAUAGCAUGGUGCCUCGAGAUUUGGUUUGGCUAUC
rnacentral:lncRNA from 1 species